rnacentral:tRNA from 1 species
GGAGGGGUGGCCGAGUGGUUAAUGGCAACGGUCUGUAAAACCGUCGCCCGGAAGGGCUACGCAGGUUCGAAUCCUGCCCCCUCCACCG